rnacentral:rRNA from 1 species
AAGUGCGAUCAUACCAGCACUAAUGCACCGGAUCCCAUCAGAACUCCGCAGCUAAGCGUGCUUGGGCGAGAGUAGUACUAGGAUGGGUG